AGCAGCCGCGGUAAUUCCAGCUCCAAUAGCGUAUAUUAAAGUUGUUGCAGUUAAAAAGCUCGUAGUUGAAUUUCGGGAUCAAUAUAUCGGUCGUGCCUCCGGUAUGCACUGGUAUUAUUGAUUUCUACCUUCUGACGAAUCAUGAUGUCAUUAAUUUGGUGUCAUGGGGAAUCAGGACUGUUACUUUGAAAAAUUGAGUGUUUAAAGCAGGCACACGCUUGAAUACAUUAGCAUGGAAUAAUGAAAUAGGACGUUUGACCCUAUUUUGUUGGUUUCUAGGAUCGACGUAAUGAUUAAUAGGGAUAGUUGGGGGCAUUAGUAUUCAAUUGUCAGAGGUGAAAUUCUUGGAUUUAUUGAAGACUAACUACUGCGAAAGCAUUUGCCAAGGUAUGUUUUCAUUAAUCAAGAACGAAAGUUAGGGGAUCGAAGACGAUCAGAUACCGUCGUAGUCUUAACCAUAAACUAUGCCGACUAGGGAUCGGAUGAUGUUAAUUUUACUGACUCAUUC
rnacentral:rRNA from 1 species